CUGCUCGUUUUGGCAGCACAUGUACUAAAAUUGGCACAAUACAGAGAAGAUUAGCAUAGCCCUUGUGCAAGGAUGACACACAAAUUCAGGAAGCAUUCCAUAUUUAA
rnacentral:snRNA from 1 species